GUUGACGAAAAAUUUUCGUCAUAGUUAUCGUCAACGACCUUUUUUUUCUGACUAAAACGAGACAAUAACUAAAUAAAAAAUAAUUUACGUGGACAAGACAAUGACGAGGUGUAUUGACAUAUUCGUCAACGAAUAAAAACGAGACGAAAAUGUCUGCCAGAGACGAGAUCCAAUCGGAACUCAUUUCGUUAGGAAAAGGCGGGAGGAGUUGGGAAGAGAACCAAUCAGAGCGACGUGGUAAGGAAGUUACGUAAACGUAGUUUGCGUUUGAGACUGACCCGGGAAUGCGCUGCAGAAGACAACAUGUCAACGCUGGGGAGGAAGAGGAGAGAGGACAUAUGGGGAAAUGUUAUAUUUGACGUCAAAGAUAACAAGACGCAGUGUAAGAAAUGCAGCACGAGGAUUACGGGGAAAAACACAACAAACUUGAAGCGACAUUUACAGUCGAAUCACUCGAAAUCCACACACAGCACAUGUCCAAAGUAGUAUAUAGGAAAGAAGAGAAUAUUCCAGUUGCUGCUGAACCAGGAGAUGAAGAAAGGACAGGAGAAUGACCGGUAGGUCAGCUUGACCACCUGAGUGGUACCCACCCAGGAGGAGGAGACGCAGAGCACCAUCAGCAGACCACCUAGCACCUUCAGCACUGUGCAGGUGCAGGUCUGGUACGACAGGCUCUCCUCGCUUGUCUCGCUGCCUGGCGUCUCAGCGUGAGACUCCAAACCAUCCUCUCCUAACGGGAAGAGAAAUACCACAAAUGUACACAGAAUGUCACUCAGGUCCCGAAAAUGUCACAUCAAACCACGGCGGAAUGGUGGAGAUGUCUAUAACACAAUCCUGCCUUCUUCCAAAGUUGCUCCAAAAAAGUGUGGAGAAUGCAUAUAUUUUUAAGAGUUCUGUCUUUAUUCAUAGUCAUGUUUAAAGCAGCUAAUAUUUUCCCAUGUGUACACUUCGUGCUUUUUCCUUUUGUUCGCUAGUAAACUCUGUUUCACCUUGAAGGCACUGGAAUGUCUAUUGGGAGUAUAAUGUACUCCCUUUUUAACAAUAAGGCUGUAUUUCUUUAAGGGCAGGAGGGGGCUGUUUCCAUACUAAAUAAGCUGACUUUUUCCGUUUGAUUUUCAGACCGCUUCUUGAUGCUGCUAUUAACGCAUUUGUAAGGACUGGUCUCUUAAAGCUUUAGUAAAACUUGGUAGUAUUGCUAUUCUGUUUUGGUGGUCCUUCUUACUCAACAUAUAUGCCAUCCGAAAGAUCUUGGGAUUGACCAGUGUCUUUUAUUCCCUGAGAGGAAGACUGGUCCGACGCAACACAAGCCGUUUGGAAUUUGAGACGAUUGUGACGUAUUUUGCCUUAGUUACGUCCGCAGAUAUCUCCAUACAUGAUAGAGGGUUACCCAAAGAGCGUUGCACUAGUUCACCAUUUGUAUUCAG